UACGAAGGGGGCUAGCGUUGCUCGGAAUCACUGGGCGUAAGGGUGCGUAGGCGGGUCUUUAAGUCAGGGGUGAAAUCCUGGAGCUCAACUCCAGAACUGCCUUUGAUACUGAAGAUCUUGAGUUCGGGAGAGGUGAGUGGAACUGCGAGUGUAGAGGUGAAAUUCGUAGAUAUUCGCAAGAACACCAGUGGCGAAGGCGGCUCACUGGCCCGAUACUGACGCUGAGGCACGAAAGCGUGGGGAGCAAACAGG
rnacentral:rRNA from 1 species